rnacentral:lncRNA from 1 species
UACUUGGCUAUUUAUCAUUAUUCUCUAGCCUGUUACUUUAUUUGUAGCACAUUUUAUUUUACAGUUGUGUUUUCUCUUCCACAGACUAUCUCACAGUCUUGCGCCAAUGCACAGCUAAAUAUCAUGAUGAGUAAACCAGUGCCAGAAGAGAGUCUGCUGUCGGAAAUGUGGUCUUCUGAACAAGUUAUCUACCCAUUUGUAGAGCUGCCACAUCAGUCUUCAUAGAAGUACUGGAAGGUUAUUGCCUUGAUUGUUCUGGGGUCAUAAACUCUCUGUGCUGCUGCGAUAUUAUUGAAAGAAGCAGUUUUCCCUGCUCAUGUCAUCUCUUGUGCACUUUGAUCUGGG